GCUAAUAGGGCUGCUAUUGCAGGCUACUUUGAUAUAGUAAAUUGAGAACGUAUUCGUUCCGUUAGUA
rnacentral:tRNA from 2 species